CGAUUGUCGAUGCGAUUUGUUGAAUUGGAUAGAUAUCGAAUGUGAAUUUUGUUUUAAAAAAUGAAUAUUUCUUGUUGUGAGUAUGAAAUGGAAGGUUCACCUGAUCGGAAAGAAGUAACCGUGGAAAAUUCUGUAGACGUGAUAGUACAUAUUAUUUUGGGUCUGGCGGCACGUAAGAGAAGAGAAGAAGCAAAAUCGUCUUCUUCUUCAAUACAAUUUUGGCGACUGACCUUUCUUUUUAAACUAGUUACCGCCAAAACGUUAAAAAGUCCUUUAAAAAC